AAGGGUAUAGCUCAGUGGCAGAGUGCAUGCUUAGCAUGCACGAGGUCCUGGGUUCAAUCCCCAGCACCUCCU
rnacentral:tRNA from 1 species